rnacentral:rRNA from 1 species
CAUGUCUUUUUGAUUAUAAUUUAAAGUCUGACCUGCCCAAUGAAUUAUAUUUAAAUGGCCGCGGUAUUUUGACCGUGCAAAGGUAGCAUAAUAAUUAGUUUUUUAAUUGAAAACUGGUAUGAAUGGUCGAACGAAAAAAAUACUGUCUCAAUUUAAUUUAAAUUAGAAUUUUAUAUUUAAGUAAAAAAGCUUAAAUAUUCUUAAAAGACGAGAAGACCCUAUAGAGUUUUAUAUUAUAUAUUAUAAUUGAAAACUAAAGUAUUAUAGGUUUAAUUUAUAAUAGUUAAUAUUUGAUUGGGGUGAUUGAAAAAUUAAAUAAACUUUUUUUAAAAAAAAUACAUUGAUAUAUGAAUAAUUGAUCCAUAUUUUAUGAUUAUAAGAUUAAAUUACCUUAGGGAUAACAGCGUAAUUUUUUUUGAGAGUUCUUAUCGAAAAAAAAGUUUGCGACC